rnacentral:sRNA from 1 species
UAGCGAUUUUUAGCUUGUCAGGAGCCAG